AACUUUAUUCAAUUCUUAUAACCCUAUUUCUCGUACAGUCAAAUGGCUGGAUUUCACCACCCUGGCGACCCCUACUUUCCCAACCAAGGCAACGGAGGAUGGAUCGAAGAUGAUCCCGAAGAGGACGAGGAACCCAUAGAAGUGGGUGAUGACUCCGGUACCGACUCAGAGCCGGAAGUUAUCGAUCCACCACCCGUACAACCUCCCGUCUUCGUAAGGAACUUUCAAGGACCGACUCCCGUCUGAGGAAGUCAUCUCCACCAUUGGAUCCAACAACAAAACCUACGCCCUCCCUACGGCAUGUGUCGAGACUUCUACGAUGUCUGAGGCGAAGGUUCGGCUGAUCGGGCCCUCCCAGUAAUGGUGGGUAAGCUAGCCAAUCAAUCCUAUCAAUCCGGAGUUCAAGCUAGCCGACUUCAGGAUGUUAACGUGGAAGUACAGGUUCACACUUCCGACAUCUGUAGGCUGGACAGAAUGCAAGACAAUGCUCAACUCCAAACCGAGGCAUUCCAAGCGCAAAUGAUUGCAGCCCUCGCCGAAUUAAGGGAACAACAAGCCGCUUUUGAUCGGCGUCUAAUGGAGUCAAAGCAAUCGGAUGCGGAGUCAAGCUCCAAGCGCAACCUAUGUCGCAAGUAAUGCUUGCAAGAAUCUCAAAUUUUGUUAUAAGUUAGGACCUCAGCCAAAAGUCUUUAAUUUUCUCAAACUUUGUAACCAGAGACCCUUAUAGGGGUCAAUUUUUCAUGAUCGUUGUAUCAACUAUUAUAUUAAUAUAAGUGGCACUAUUAUUACUACGUUGAGUAUUUCAUUAAAUCCUCGAAAAGUCAUCAAGAAACCAAGUGCUUGAUUCAUAUUGUCAGUCUUACAAAUAACUUUCAUGCUUCUAUUUUAAGACUCAUACUAUCACCUGUUGUCGAACUAUAGCAAUUUGGUUCAUAAGACACAUUCAGUUUCUAUACUAAGUAAUUCUUAUCGUUAUCUUUUCAACCUAUAGUUGAAGGAUGCCUCCGCGUAGGAAUUCAAGGCGAAACAAUGGUGGGGAAGAACCUAUACCACCACCACCUCCACCACCUCAAUUUGAUGUUGUCAUGUUCCAAGCAGCAGUCAUCGCAGUGGUAGCAGCUGCCAUGUCACAGAUCAAUAACUCGAGUACUACUGGCUCGGGAUCUGGCACACACCUAUCCAACCAUGGCGAGAGUCAUGGACCACCUCGAGAAUGCACCUAUAAGGACUUCACUAAUGCCAAGCCCCGGAUGUUUUAUGGAACUGGUGGUGUGAUAGCCCUGAGGCAGUGGAUUGAAAGGACGGAAGCAGUCUUUGAAAUCUGCUCCUGUCCCGAGCACAGCAAAGUCAAAUUUGCAACUUUCACCCUUAUUGAUAGAGCUUUAACUUGGUGGAAUGGCCACGUUAAGGUACUUACCCUGAUAGUGGCAAACUCCAUAAGCUGGGAAAGCUUAAAAGUCAUGCUGAUGAGAGAAUACUGUCCACGAGGAGAGAUUUAAAAACUCGAACACGAACUCUGGACUCUUGGAAUGGUUGGUAACGACAUCGAAACUUAUACCAACAGGUUCUGCGAUCUGGAAAUCCUUUUCCUAGAUAUGACUGCUCCUGAGAGCAAGAAAAUAGAGAGAUACAUUUGGGGAUUGUCUCCACAAAAGGGAAACAACAACAACAACAGCAACAACAACAACAAGAAGAGGGUAUGGAAUAAAGGGAAGGGUGGGUCUUCCCAAGAAUCCGUGAAGAAACAACUGGUCUCAGUGAAUGCUGCCAUUGCACCUACUACAGUUCCUAAAAAUACCUACCCAACCAAGCCUUAUGUAGGUAACCUUCCCAAGUGCGCCAAAUGCACUUACUAUGACAACCUGAUAUUUCAACUCUUUGUAAUGACCUAAAAAGUCAAGUAUUGUAGCUACUUUUGAAAUAAUGAAAUUAACUUCGAAGAUGAAAUAUGUAAAAAUCUUUAUAAGAAUAUCUAUUAUGUUAGACAUUGUGUCAAGGUUUACAUAAAUACUAAGAACACUAAAAUCCGAGUUACAACAAAGAAGUUAUGACCAUUCUAAGAUUUCCGACAAAACCGACAACACCGAUUAAACGGAAAACGCGAAGUUUCAAUACGAUAGCAUUUAGCCUUAGGUAUCUAAAUGAAAGUUAUAGAUAACAUUAAACCGUGAGCGUACACAAAAAGAACGUCCAAAUCUGACUUCGUAUGAGGAAGUUAUGAUUUUUCCAAGAUCCGAAUAUAGCAGUAGACAGCUAAAAACUCGAAAUAGAGCUCGAGAGACUUUUGACCAAAACAACCUAAAUGAGAAUCGAAGGUCUCAACAUUAGUAGCGCAACAACGAAAAGUCUGACGAAAACGGACAUCGGAUGAAGAAGUUAUGGAUUUUAUACGGACUUUUCGUGUCCCGGCCCGUUAAAAAUAAAUAAUUAAAAAUAAAGUCAAAAUUUGCCGAUGAAGUCUAAAUGAAAGUUGUAGAUCAUAUUUUCAGCUAUGCGUGCAUAUAAAGAACGUCGAAAACGGAGCUCGUACGCGAAAGUUAUGGAUUUUACAAGUUCGGGGUCCAAAAUCCGAGGCUGUCAGGCCUCCCCACGACGUGGCACUGUUUUGCCGCGACCCGGCAAGUGACUGAGGGUGUCCAAUCAAUGGAAGAGGAUAGACUUGCUUCCCACGACGUGCCCAACCCUAGCCACGACGUGGCACUCAAAAAUACCCCCUAUAAAUAGAACUCUUGGGGUGCCGGGUUUAGGUGCUCCAUUCUUCCCUCUCUCGUGCUGAAACUCUGCGGUUAAGCUCCCGAAGCCCUCCCGAAGCCCCGGUUUUCACACUCAAGUUCCGAAGGAAGGUUCUACUCUCCCGAGAUUCCCGAGAUUCCCGAGAAUCCCGAGAAAAUCGACUUUCACGAGCCGAAGUUCUGCUCGAUUUUCUUCUCGUUUUCCCCAAUCAAUCAAGUGAGUUUCAUACCCCUUAAUCAACCUUUUUAAAUAUUCUAAAUGCUUUUAUAUGCUCUCAAGGGGGGGAAUACAAGUAAACACACAACUAAUAUCGUGUGUUACAUAAACAAUUACUUUAUGUGCUUUUAUAUAUCCAAAUCGCAUGUGAUUUAUAAACUAUAUAGGGAACUUUUAUAUAUAUACAAAAUAUGUUAUAUUCCAUCCUUUGAAAUAUAAAUUGUUGUAAUGCAUGUAUAAACUAAACAUUUUCUUAGAUUAUAUGUAUACUUGUCUAUCUUAGACUCUACACCAAAAAUCUAUGUUUUCAUAACAAAUGAUUCCUUUUCUAGGUAUUUCUAAACAAACGAGACACACUUUUAGAAAACUAUAAUAGGUAUAGUUUUACAAACAAAUUUCUAACUCUUAUGUACUAGAAACAUGAAUUUCAAGAAGUCACUUUCGUAUACAAGAACAAAUGAAACAUUUUAACAAGUAGAUCUGUUUUUAUACCACGGUUUUGUGAGACGCUAACUUCACGUACGUUCGAGUACACAUUUCAAGUCCUGUAUUAUAUACCAGAAUCCCUUGGAGGGGGAGCAUGGUGUUUGUGUAUAGAUCUAUACGGGCUUGACAACCCGCGCCCUGACUGUUAGCUGCAGUCCACCGUUUGGGGUGACAAACGUCAUAACAUUCCAACGCCUGAAGAACGUUGUGUAUAGGCAUUCCGAGUCAAUAGUAUGGUUAUAAAACUCACAUGGGGUAUUAAAAAUGCAUUGAUUUACAAGGUUUUCAAAAUACAUUGGUUAUUUUACACUUACAUACAUUUUGGAAACAAACAUUGGUCUUGAGUGAAGGCUACUUUUAUACUAGUAGAAAAUAUAGGAUUUUCUAAACACAAACAAACAAAGACAAAACAUUUCAUUUCAUACAAACAUUGUCACUUAAAUACUUAUGAAACUCACCAGCUUAAAUGCUGAUCUACUCUUUCAAAAUUACUUGUAUGUCCCAGGAAAUCAGUAAUUUCAGGUAUUCAUUACGCUUUUGAUGAAGGGAUGCUGCGGCGCCAGUUUAAUCUCGUAUUUUUGACAUCAUAUUGUAAUUGGUUUUGAACAUGUAACUUUUGACAAAUGUAAACUUUCAAUUAUAUAUAUGAUGGUUGUAUUGCUUUCUUUACUAUGUAUUCAUUUGUUACGUUACCACAUGAAGUCAUCCGCCCCCGAACGUUUCCGCCGUUCAGGUUUGGGGGUGUGACAGAUUGGUAUCAGAGCAAUGUUUAUAGUGAACUAAGUAUAUCGAACCACAUAAGAUAUACAAACUAUAAAUGCUUAAGGGACUAAUACUCUCUGACAAAACAAAUUUUCUUUUUACACUUAAGCAGCAUUGCGUUCAACUUAAAUUGAUAGUUCAUUUAAGUACAACUACAUGCAUACAACAAAUUAUUUUCAUGAUAUCUAACUAUACAACAAGUAUUUAGACAAGUUCACACUACGAUUAAGACUCUAUAUAUGUAAUCAGAUUUUGGACAAAUAUAGCGUGAUCAACUAUAUUUGCCCGAGAUUGGACCAACGUAUAUCGAGGAAUGAUCGUAGUAAGCAACAAGUCAAAACUUACCAAACCAUUACAAGAAUCAAACACAAGAAUUUAAAUACUAUAGGAGUAUUUGCUAUCUAAACUAGUUUAACUUACAUGUUUUGCAUGUUCCAACUUUAUUCAAUUCUUAUAACCCUAUUUCUCGUACAGUCGAAUGGCUGGAUUUCAUCACCCUGGCGACCCCUAUUUUCCCAACCAAGGCAACGGAGGAUGGAUCAAAGAUGAUCCUAAAGAGGACGAGGAACCCAUAGAAGUGGGUGAUGACUCCGGUACCGAAUCAGCGCCGGAAGUUAUCAAUCCACCACCCAUUCAACCUCCCGUCUUUGUAAGGAACUUUUAAGGACCGACUC
rnacentral:lncRNA from 1 species